AUUGAACGCUAGCGGGAUGCCUAACACAUGCAAGUCGAACGGAGUGGCGAACGGGUGAGUAAUGUAUCGGAACGUGCCCAGUAGCGGGGGAUAACUACGCGAAAGGGUAGCUAAUACCGCAUACUAUUGGAGCGGCCUAUAUCGGAUUAGCUAGUUGGUGGGGUAACGGCUCACCAAGGCGACGCUCCGUAGCUGGUUUGAGCGGACGACCAGCCACACUGGGACUGAGACACGGCCCAGACUCCUACGGGAGGCAGCAGUGGGGAAUUUUGGACAAUGGGCGAAACCCUGAUCCAGCCAUCCCGCGUGUGGGAUGAAGGCCUUCGGGUUGUAAAGCACUUUGAGCAGGGAAGCGGUACCUGCAGAAUAAGCACCGGCUAACUUCGUGCCAGCAGCCGCGGUAAUAC
rnacentral:rRNA from 1 species